rnacentral:misc_RNA from 1 species
AAGUCGUAACAAGGUUUCCGUAGGUGAACCUGCGGAAGGAUCAUUAACUGGUUGGUGGUGGGGGUUGGGUUGGGUAGUCUAUCCACACUACUGGUGUGGUGUGGUGUGGCUUCCGCUCACUCUUGCAACAAACGCAAGGCAGCUAUGGCUGUCUUGAUGUUCACGCUUGGAUUUGUUUGACAGAUAUUGGAUGGAUUGGAUUGGAUGUAUGAUAACUUUUAACAAUGGAUCUCUUGGCUCUU